rnacentral:rRNA from 1 species
CACGUAGGCACCAAGCGUUGUCCGGAUUUAUUGGGCGUAAAGAGCUCGUAGGCGGUUCAGUAAGUCGGGUGUGAAACUUGGGCUUAACCCAAGCGUGCAUCCGAUACUGCUGUGACUAGAGUGCGGUAGGGGAGACUGGAAUUCCUGGUGUAGCGGUGAAAUGCGUAGAUAUCUGGAGGAAUACCGGUGGCGAAGGCGGCAUCCUGGACCGACAUUGACGCUGAACGGCGAAAGCUA